AACGAACGCUGGCGGCAUGCCUAACACAUGCAAGUCGAACGAUUACCUUCGGGUGAUAGUGGCGCACGGGUGCGUAACGCGUGGGAAUCUGCCCUCAGGUUCGGAAUAACAGCUGGAAACGGCUGCUAAUACCGGAUGAUAUCGCGAGAUCAAAGAUUUAUCGCCUGAGGAUGAGCCCGCGUUGGAUUAGGUAGUUGGUGGGGUAAAGGCCUACCAAGCCGACGAUCCAUAGCUGGUCUGAGAGGAUGAUCCGCCACACUGGGACUGAGACACGGCCCAGAGUCCUACGGGAGGCAGCAGUAGGGAAUAUUGGACAAUGGGCGCAAGCCUGAUCCAGCAAUGCCGCGUGAGUGAUGAAGGCCCUAGGGUUGUAAAGCUCUUUUACCCGGGAAGAUAAUGACUGUACCGGGAGAAUAAGCCCCGGCUAACUCUGUGCCAGCCGCCGCCGUAAAAC
rnacentral:rRNA from 1 species